rnacentral:rRNA from 1 species
CCUACGGGUGGCAGCAGUGAGGAAUAUUGGUCAAUGGACGCAAGUCUGAACCAGCCAUGCCGCGUGCAGGAAGACGGCUCUAUGAGUUGUAAACUGCUUUUGUACGAGGGUAAACGCAGAUACGCGUAUCUGUCUGAAAGUAUCGUACGAAUAAGGAUCGGCUAACUCCGUGCCAGCAGCCGCGGUAAUACGGAGGGUUCAAGCGUUAUCCGGAUUUAUUGGGUUUAAAGGGUGCGUAGGCGGUCGGAUAAGUUAGAAGUGAAAUCCCGGGGCUCAACUUCGGAAUUGCCUCUGAUACUGUGCGGCUAGAGAGUAGGUGAGGUAGGCGGAAUGUAUGGUGUAGCGGUGAAAUGCUUAGAGAUCAUGCAGAACACCGAUUGCGAAGGCAGCUUACCGAGCUACUUCUGACGUUGAGGCACGAAAGCGUGGGGAGCAAACAGGAUUAGAUACCCUAGUAGUC